AGUAAAUGGGCGUAGUCUGAUGCAGCACGCCGCGUGAGUGAGAGGUUUUCGGAUCGUAAAACUCUGUUGUUAGGGAAGACAAUGAUGAGAGUAACUGUUCAUCCCUUGACGGUUUCUAACCAGAAAGCCACGGCUAACUACGUGCCAGCAGCCGCGGUAAUACGUAGGUGGCAAGCGUUGUCCGGAUUUAUUGGGCGUAAAGCGAGCGCAGGCGGUUUCUUAAGUCUGAUGUGUAAGCCCCCGGCUCAACCGGGGAGGGUCAUUGGAAACUGGGAGACUUGAGUGCGUAAGAGGAAAGUGGAAUUCCAUGUGUAGCGGUGAAAUGCGUAAAUAUAUGGAGGAACACCAGUGGUGAAGGCGGCUCUCUGGUCUGUAACUGACGCUGAGGCUCAAAAGCGUGGGGAGCAAACAGGAUUAAAUACCCUGGUAGUCCACGCCGUAAACAAUGAGUGCUAAGUGUUGGAGGGUUUCCUCCCUUCUCUGCUGGAGCUAACCCAUUAAGCACUCCGCCUGGGGAGUACGACCCGCGG
rnacentral:rRNA from 1 species